rnacentral:rRNA from 1 species
UGGGGAAUCUUGCGCAAUGGGCGAAAGCCUGACGCAGCGACGCCGCGUGAGUGAUGAAGGCCUUCGGGUUGUAAAGCUCUGUGGGGAGAGAAGAAUAAGUGCGGGCUAAUACUCCGCAUGAUGACGGUAUCUCCUUAGCAAGCACCGGCUAACUCUGUGCCAGCAGCCGCGGUAAGACAGAGGGUGCAAACGUUGUUCGGAAUUACUGGGCGUAAAGCGAGUGUAGGCGGUUUGGUAAGUCGGAUGUGAAAGCCCCGGGCUCAACCCGGGAAGUGCACUCGAUACUGCCAAGCUAGAGUAUCGGAGAGGUUGGUGGAAUUCUCGGUGUAGAGGUGAAAUUCGUAGAUAUCGAGAGGAACACCGGUGGCGAAGGCGGCCAACUGGACGAAUACUGACGCUGAGACUCGAAAGCGUGGGGAGCAAACAGGAUUAGAUACCCCUGUAGUCCCUGAGCGGGCUGGCAAGGCGCAU